GGAGAGAUGGUUGAGCUGGUCGAAGGCACCUGACUCGAAAUCAGGAGAACGGGUAACCGUUCCGUGGGUUCGAAUCCCACUCUCUCCG
rnacentral:tRNA from 1 species